GAGAAUAUGGCUCAAAUGAAGAGCAUCUGUCUAGCAAGCAUUAGGUCCUGAGUUCAAACCUCAGUACAAUCA
rnacentral:tRNA from 1 species